UACGGAGAGUGCAAGCGUUGUUCGGAAUUACUGGGCGUAAAGGGCGCGUAGGCGGUUUCGUAAGUCCUGUGUGAAAUCCCCCGGCUCAACUGGGGAACUGCACAGGAAACUGCGAGGCUUGAGUUCGGGAGAGGGAAGCGGAAUUCCGGGUGUAGCGGUGAAAUGCGUAGAUAUCCGGAGGAACACCGGUGGCGAAGGCGGCUUCCUGGACCGACACUGACGCUGAGGCGCGAAAGCCAGGGGAGCAAACGGG
rnacentral:rRNA from 1 species